rnacentral:misc_RNA from 1 species
CUUGUAUCCAAACCUUCAGUGGUUAACACCAUGUAUUCUAAACAAUACAUGGGUAAAGACUAAGUGUUCGAUUGGAAAUUAAAGUACUCGGUUUAGAUUUCGACAACCAGGACAGAUCAGAAACAAUCAGGAAAAGUCGCUCAGUUGAGGAAUAGACUGUAUUGACCAUGGCAACAGAAUCUAAACCAAGUUCCAAACCAUCCCGGGUCGUAGCUGUAGCGAUAGAUAACAGUGAAUAUGCUGAAAAAGCUUUUGAUUGGUACUUGGAAAAAAUCAGACGCAACGAUGACGUCAUAGUCCUUAUUCACAUUCCAGAGUCUUACGAUUUCUCAUUGGCAACUGUGCAGAAUAACGGAGAAGAAAUAAGUAUUAAUUUCUAUCACAAAAACGUUUGACUGUUCUUUCUUUCCUGUUUUUAAUGUUGUUUUAGCGGUAACCAAUCUAAAAAUCGAUUUUGUUUCCUUAUCAAAAUAAAAAUUAUCUUUGGUAGAUGCAUCUUUAUAUCUAUUGAUAUAAAUACACGCUUUGAUUAAAAAUUCUAGAUUUGUGUUGCACUAACAUUUCUGCUUUUUGGCAAUCGGGAAACAUGUACAAAAUUCGCGUUUUUUCUUCCCUUAGUGUGUGUUUAUCGAGUGUGUUUUCCUCAUUGUUCGAUUUUCCAAUUUUAGGUGUUUAAAAUCACUUAUUUGUUGUUAAUCUGUGAUCAGGUAUCUUCAUUUUAUAUUUUGAAUUUAAUUUUAAAAAUCGAUAAAAGGUUUCAAAGUUUAGUGACAUUUAUUAUUCACCUAAAACUCCAUAAAGGUUUAAUAUUAUGAUUUCAAAGAAGUAUUCACGAAUUCACAUCAAAUAUUUGCGUCGCAGGGGAGUGGUCGCCCUUGGCGCUCCAGAAGGAUGCGUUCGAUUUCACGGUUCCAAGUAUGUAUCUGCAUAUUGGCAAAAUUUCUUUCUGCUACACGUAGACGGACGUGUCUUACCUGCUAUAUUGAUAUCUAUUUGCAUGUGUUGACUCUAAUAAAAAUAUAUUAGACGAUAGACAUACAAAGUCGUGACUUUUGCAUGGUUAAAUUUUAAAAUAAUUGAAUGUUUGAUAACAAUUUAGUGAAAAACAUGAUUUUGAAUAACAAACCCUAGUUUAAAGUAUGAUAAUUUAUCAAUUAUUAGCUAUUAUACGAAAAAGAACUUCUGUUCACACAUUUGAAGCUUAGGAUUUUAAUCUAAAUUAUGAUUUCGUCAAGUGUUAGAAUUUCUGAAAUAAAAUGUUUCAAAAGAAAAAAAAAAACGCACCAAAAACCACAAAAAAAUCAACAACAACGAAAAACAGGUUAGUGCAAGAAAAGCGCCAAAUCAAGGUAUUGCAACUGAGAUAUCUCUUUAAAAUGGAAAAUAUGUUAGCUUUUUGUUUUCAUCAAUUUGUUUGGCCUGAAAAAAAGAUUGUCGUCUGUAAUACAUGUACAAAAGAUGUUAAAUUAUUAUAUCCCCAAUAGGGAGAUUUUGCUGUUCUUCUGAUUGCUACAUAUAUAAUGGAAAUAAAGCUAGCCUGCUAAGCAGCUUUAUAUGAAAAAUAGUGUUUUAUAUAUAGUUUUUGCAUUAUAUGCAUUCCGUUAACUUAAAUCUUUAAAGUCUAUUUUCCAUAAUAUUUAGGAUGAUCCUUUUCUUAUUUUAAUUUUGCAUCUAAACGUGCACGUGUGCACGUUAGUGGUCUAAUUCUACACACUUCGACAUUUUCUUGUCUGUUUUUCUGAUCAUCAACCUACACGAUCAUCAAUUGAUACAGAUGGUCGUUGUACACUAUCCGAAUGCAUUCCAGCAAAUAUCUAUUUUUUUUUUUUAGAAUUUACAUAAAUAAACACGUCGAAUGUCUGUCAUUGUAUCUUGUUAUAUCCAGGUCCUGGAGUUAUACGACAACUUUUGGAUGAAUUGGAGAAAAACGUGAAGUUUUUGGAAGAUCGCUAUGCUGAAAAAGUCAAAGCAUACGGGAUUGAUGGGAAGUUUCGUACUGGUGGUGGUAAGCCAGGGGAAGCCAUACUUAAGAUAGCGAGAGAAGAGAAUGCCACGCUGAUUGUCACAGGUACUCGAGGACUCGGGAAGAUCCGCCGGACCGUCUUAGGAAGUGUCAGUGAUUACGUCAUCCACCACUCACCUGUUCCGGUUCUUGUGUGCCGGAUGUAAUUUGCCAGAAGUCAAAAGUUGUGACGACAUAGAUGGUUUAGACUUUCGUGCAUCGUUUAAAAUAUUUUUCUCUAUUAAUGAAAAAUGUUGUUUU